GAAAGGGUUAGUAAGGCUCAUGGUAAAUCUCUUGCCAAUUUGUACUAAAAAUUAGGGACACGGGAGGAGGAUAAGGAGAUAUACAAGCUAGCACGAUUAAAGGAAAAGAGUGAUAGAGAUCUAAAUCAGGUCAAUUGCAUUAAAUAUGAUAAUCAACAAGUUUUAUUGAGAUAGUGAGAUCAAAAAGAGAUGGAAAUGCUAUUUUCAUUGGUUGUUUAGUGUAAGUCAUGAGGAUAACUUUACAAACCUUAAUAUUUUUUUGACAAAACAGAACUUUAAC
rnacentral:misc_RNA from 1 species